UACGAAGGGGGCUAGCGUUGCUCGGAAUUACUGGGCGUAAAGCGCACGUAGGCGGCUUCUUAAGUCGGUGGUGAAAUCCUGGGGCUCAACUCCAGAACUGCCUUCGAUACUGGGAAGCUUGAGUCCGGGAGAGGUGAGUGGAACUGCGAGUGUAGAGGUGAAAUUCGUAGAUAUUCGCAAGAACACCAGUGGCGAAGGCGGCUCACUGGCCCGGUACUGACGCUGAGGUGCGAAAGCGUGGGGAGCAAACAGG
rnacentral:rRNA from 1 species